GAUGAACGCUGGCGGCGUGCCUAAUACAUGCAAGUCGAGCGAACGGACGAGAAGCUUGCUUCUCUGAUGUUAGCGGCGGACGGGUGAGUAACACGUGGAUAACCUACCUAUAAGACUGGGAUAACUUCGGGAAACCGGAGCUAAUACCGGAUAAUAUUUUGAACCGCAUGGUUCAAAAGUGAAAGACGGUCUUGCUGUCACUUAUAGAUGGAUCCGCGCUGCAUUAGCUAGUUGGUAAGGUAACGGCUUACCAAGGCAACGAUGCAUAGCCGACCUGAGAGGGUGAUCGGCCACACUGGAACUGAGACACGGUCCAGACUCCUACGGGAGGCAGCAGUAGGGAAUCUUCCGCAAUGGGCGAAGGCCUGACGGAGCAACGCCGCGUGAGUGAUGAAGGUCUUCGGAUCGUAAAACUCUGUUAUUGGGGAAGAACAUAUGUGUAAGUAACUGUGCACAUCUUGACGGUACCUAAUCAGAAAGCCACGGCUAACUACGUG
rnacentral:rRNA from 1 species